UGUCCGGAUUUAUUGGGCGUAAAGAGUCGUAGGCGGUUCGUUAAGUCUGAUGUUAAAGAUCGGGGCUCAACCUCGAAGGUGCAUUGGAUACUGGCGGACUUGAGUGCAGUAGAGGCGAGUGGAAUUCUCAGUGUAGCGGUGAAAUGCGUAGAUAUUGGGAAGAACACCGGUGGCGCAGGCGACUCGCUGGGCUGUAACUGACGCUGAGGAACGAAAGCUAGGGGAGCAAAUGGGAUUAGAUACCCCAGUAGUCCUAGCUGUAAACGAUGGAUACUAGGCGUAGCAGGUAUCGACCCCUGCUGUGCCGUAGCUAACGCGAUAAGUAUCCCGCCUGAGUAGUACGGCCGCAAGGUUGAAACUCAAAGGAAUUGACGGGGGCCCGCACAAGCGGUGGAACAUGUGGUUUAAUUCGAAGCAACGCGAAGAACCUUACCAGGGCUUGACAUGUAGAGAACUUUUCGGAAACGAGAAGGUGCCCGCAAGGGAGCUCUAACACAGGUGGUGCAUGGCU
rnacentral:rRNA from 1 species